rnacentral:antisense_RNA from 1 species
GCCUUCCCUCCCAGCAGCAAAAGCAGUCAGAGGACAAUGUUCCCUAGUCUAAUCUGCUCUUUCCUUCCUUCAUUCAUUCAGUCAUUCACUCAGCUGGCCAGCAAACACUGGAUGACCACACCUGGGCCAGGCCUUGUGGCAAAUGCUACAGUAAUGACCAGACACAUCACACCCGCCUUCUAGAAGCCCUCCCUCACAAACCGGAUCAACUGCUAUGAUAAAGUUUGGUUUCCUUCUUUUCAUGAUUUGCCAUGAGAAGAACCCACCCAGGUAAUCACUGCUUGCUCAGAUCCCAGCAAAUUCUAGAUCCCAGAACUAGUGCUCUUAGAGCCAAGGCCAGCCGAUCCAAGUCUGGACCACUGCUCAGAUGAGCCAAGCCUGAAUUUGGGAGUGGUCGCGUUACAGAGCAUUACCCUGGCAAUAACUGACUGAUGCAGAGAUGUAAAUAGACAUCACUGGUGGAGCCCCCAGGAAAGCUCUUUAACAGAAGACAGACUCAGCUGGCAGGUUUUUUGCCCCUUUCCCUUCUCUUCCCUUGAAUGAAGACAGGCUCAAUGCUUGGAGGGGUGAGAGGAGGCAGCCGUCUUACAACCACAGGUCACAGGAAGACACUAAACAAGGCCGUGUGGAAAGACAGAAGGAGCCUCCAUCCCUCAGCACCACAGAGACAUUGUAUCAGCCUGGAAAUGCCUAAAUCUGAACUUCCUCUUACCUAAGAAAAAUAAAACC